rnacentral:rRNA from 1 species
GCGGUCAGAUUAAGCCAUAAGUGAAACUUGACUUAGUUAAAGCUAAGAGGGUCGGUAAAACUCGUGCCAGCCACCGCGGUUAUACGAGAGACCCAAGUUGUUAGAUAUCGGCGUAAAGAGUGGUUAAGAUUCAUACAAGACUAAAGCCGAACGCCCUCAGAGCCGUUAUACGCACCCGAAGGUAAGAAGCCCAACCACGAAAGUGGCUUUAUAUUAUCCGAACCCACGAAAGCUAUGACACAAACUGGGAUUAGAUACCCCACUAUGCCUAGCCAUAAACAUUGAUAGUAAACUACACCCACUAUCCGCCCGGGAACUACGAGCACCAGCUUGAAACCCAAAGGACUUGGCGGUGCUUUAGAUCCACCUAGAGGAGCCUGUUCUAGAACCGAUUACCCCCGUUCAACCUCACCUUUCCUUGUUUUCCCCGCCUAUAUACCACCGUCGUCAGCUUACCCUGUGAAGGACUAAUAGUAAGCAAGAUUGGCAUAGCCCAAAACGUCAGGUCGAGGUG